rnacentral:rRNA from 1 species
UACGUAGGUGGCAAGCGUUGUCCGGAAUUAUUGGGCGUAAAGCGCGCGCAGGCGGCCUUUUAAGUCUGAUGUGAAAGCCCACGGCUCAACCGUGGAAGGUCAUUGGAAACUGAAAGGCUUGAGUACAGAAGAGGCGAGUGGAAUUCCUGGUGUAGCGGUGGAAUGCGCAGAUAUCAGGAGGAACACCAAUAGCGAAGGCAGCUCGCUGGGACGGUACUGACGCUGAGGUGCGAAAGCGUGGGGAGCAAACAGG